UAAAAUACCACAUACCAUACAUGCACAUCGUACAUACAUAUCAUACUAAAAUGUGUAACGAGUUUAUUUCACCCCUGAGUCCCUUUCGAAUCCCUUAGUCCCUUCUGACUCCCUGAGUCCCUUCCUACUCAUCGAUAUCUUUCAAGCAGUAUGGGUCUAUUUCACCCCUACAACUAAGCAUAUAGUCAUACUAGCAAGAGUCACAAAGAAAAAAAGAACAUACAUGCAUAUCAGUAAGUAUCACGAAGACCACUAUUAUCCUAAAACAUAAUCCAGUGGUUUGGUGCCUUCGACCCACGAGUAUAGUGAGGAGACUCACGUCAGUCUGAUGAUAAAUAAAUCAUAUCCUCGGGUUGAUUCUACCACGGCUCCUUGCGGUGAACAUAUCUAAAAUAUAUCCUAAUUAACAAUGUAAAUCUCGGUAAUUCUCCAAGAGUAAGAAGCUAGAAGAAGCACUAAGGACUUGAAGAGAGCCUGUAGAUCCAGAAGUUUGGCAUCUUUUCUGACCCAUUUGAGGUACCAAGAUCCAACCUUGACCAUUGCACGCUUAGAUGUAGUCAUGGGGUGUUUUAUGUAACAUUUUGGUCCCAUAUUUGAGGUCCUUCGUGACAACCCGAAAUUUCCAUUCUGAACAAACCAUAUCAAGCCAAUAGAAGUUAGAACAGUUACAGUGAAAUUCCAAACUUUGGGUAUAAGUUUCACAGUUUUUCAGGAUUUACACUUAAGGAGAUAUCAGGAGAGUGGAUGCACUAGGGUUUUGUGCAACACUGUUAUUCCAAUACUCUAGGAUAUUAGAGUUCAUUCCGGGAAUAAAAUAUUUUUCUGCCAAAAAUCCCAGGACUAUAUAUAGAAAUCUGAGCAAUAUUCAUUCAUUAGUUACAUUUCCAACUAGAGAAAAGUCAAAUUCUCCCUCACAGAUCUUCGGGUUUUUAUCCCAAAUUGUGAGUAUUUCUAUCUAGUUGUAUUAUAUAGCUUAGAUUGUGUUUUAUAACAACAAAAUCAGAUCAAAACCCCAAGAUUCGGGAGUUUACCUACCCAAUAACACUUUGAGAGUAAACUCCUUUUUAAGGGCCAAAAGAGUGCCCAAUGUCCCUCAAAGCCUUGGAACUCAAACUAGAAGCCACCAUUGCCUGCCUUAGACCACAAAACAAUUAAGAAUCAAGGCUAGAAGUGAGUUCACGGCCAAGGAAGUUCUUGGGCCGUGAACUCCAUUUUUAAGUGUCAAAAUGCCUUAAAAACCUUCCUUAAGCCAAGAGACUAAUUUAGACAUGUACCCUAAAGUGUUUAUAGCCUAGAAAACAAAAGGAAUCACAAGGAUAAAGGAGUUUACGGCCAAGACAAGUUCUUGGGCCGUAAACCCCUAUAAAUGGGACAAAUGACACCCUAACUCCUUCCUUAUGCCUAGAACCCAACAUAGAUCAUAUCCUUGAUGUGUUAGGAACCUCAAAACAUCAAAUGGUACUCCUUACCUUGAGUUUACGACCGUAAAAUCAUGGGGGAGUGGUCCCAGGGCCGUCAACAUCAAGUAAGGGCAUUUUAAGACCUUAAACCCACCCAAACACUUGUUUAAGCCUUGAAGCACUUCACCAGUUGAGUUGUAAUAAUGUUAGGCUUAAUUUAGUGACCCGAAAGAGAAUUUACGGCCAGGAGUUUACUUGCCUAGGCCGUAAACUCCAACACAUAUGGUCUUUUGACCAUAAACUCCCAUAAGAGGUCUUGCACUCCUUUGUUGCAACCCAUUAGCCUCCUAGCACUUGACCAAAAGUGUUUUCCUCGCAUUAGGAUGUUUUUACAUGUUUAAUUAGUGUUAUAAUCACUAAUUGUUUAUAUACAUAUGUCUUCAUAUGUAAUUAGGACCAUUGUGUGUGUGUCUAAAGUCUUUACUUGACACCUAGCAGUCCUACCUCUUCAGUUCAUCCGUAUCACCCACAACAGGUGAGUUCAUACCCCUUAAUCAAUGUUUUAAUUGUUUUUAAAUGUUUUAUGGGGGGGGAUACAAGUAGAAUCAUGCUAGUUAUUAUAUCAAUCACAUGUGAUUGAUAAGCAGCAUUCAAAUGAUUGGCUACUCAUUAGCCGUUUUACCAAACAGUUUCCUUCAAAUGUUUUUCAUAAACACUUUAUGUGUUUAAAACUCCUUAUUACACUGUACCUUUUACUCUGUAUGUUUCAUUUCAAACUUAUUUACAAUUGUGUUUCAAACAAAUGUUUCUUUAUACUAAACUGUUUUAUCAAACCCAUGCCUUCAAACCGUUUUAUAGAUUGACAUCAAGUCGAUCUUUUCUUAGAUAAUAAUUAUGUUCAAAGGUUUUACAAAACUUAUUUUAUGCUUUUAUAUUAUAAAUUGCAUGCCUCUAUAUGUAUAGUUAUAUAAGAAAUGUUUAAAAGACUUAGGAAGGCUAUCCACCCUAUUUCCUUUUCGCGCUUGAGANCUUAGGAAGGCUAUCCACCCUGUUUCCAUUUCCUCGAUUUGGAUGUGGUCUGGUGGGAUAUCGGGUACUCGUCCGAAGGUCGUUUAAAUAUUUGUUAUAUAUCAAGUGUACAUAUAUAGUCAUAAAGGUCCUUCCAGUUCAUCCAAUGCCCUUGGGUAGCAAGGGUAUACAUCCAGGUCCAUACGUACCAGUUAGAUUACUAAUAAACUACCAUAUGGGUAGAUUAGGAAGAUACUACAACUAUUACUAUAACACGAUAUCUUACAAUGAGUCAGUUCAUUCAUGAGUCAAUACUUUCUAGAACAUUACAGUAAUUACUAUACAUGCUAGAUAGAGAGAGAACACACAUUGCAGCUAGCACACAUAGAACAUUACAGUACAUUACUAUACAUGCUAGAUAGAGAGAGAACACACAUUAUAGCUAGCACACGUAGAACAUUACAGUACAUUACUAUACUAUUACAUGAUCACACUUACAUGAGUAUAAUUACAUGAUCACACUUACAUGAGUACGCUUACAUAUACAUAGAACAGACGUCACUAGGUGCUAUAGCAUGGAACCAGUUCAGGAUCUAACUAUACCGAUGAAUCACAACGCAACUGUGAUAGUUAUAUCGAGUAUACAUGAUCAUAGUAAUGUGGAUGCUCACGGCUUGCAUACAUGCAGGGGUCGUGGGUAGGUCCCAAAAUCCCUUUGGUAGGGGAGCAUAUAGUCUGGGAUCUAGACAUCACAUUAUACCUUAUCCCUCAAAUAAGCUAGUUGAGUACCGAUGUAGUUAUUUAUUACAGAUGCUAGAGUACUUAGAAGAAUUACCCUAAACUUAAGGUAAUUGGUACGGUUGUAGUUCGACACUACACCAUUGUACUAUUUCAUUUUUCCCAUUUCAUUCACUUCGUGAAUAUUCACACGACGCACAGUAAUGUAGAAAACUAUAUUUUUGGUUAAUGAUAGUCAGACUUGGGAAAAUACACAUUCUUACUAGAGACACACACACAGACACUAGAUGCCUUGGUAGAAGGCUACAUAAAGAUCAGUUAAGUCUUGGUAGAAGACUCCCUGUUAUAAUAGUAGGAAUCAUAGGGAUUUCUAGAGUUUUUCAAACGUUUACAGUUGUUUUACAUACAUUUUCAAUACUUACGAUUUACAUACAUUUUCAAUACAUACAAAUUCUUACAUACAAAUUAAGACACUAAAAUACUUAUGAUCUCACCAUCUUUAAAGCUGAUACUCGCUUUCAAAAUUACUUGUAUCCUCAGGUCAUCAAUAGACAGGUACUGAUGCAAGGUUUAGCAAAGAUGGAGCUUGUUCAAGACUCAUCUUUCAUUUUGAUUUAUGCUUUAGUGUCUAUUAUAAUUUGACAAAAAACACUUGUAUAAUAAUUAUAUUAUUAAUGCAAUGGAUGAUGUUGUUGAUUGUUUACUACUUUUCAUUGUUGUGAUACUGUACAUGACGUCCUCCGCCCCAGAACGUUUCCACCGUUCAUGGUUUUGGGGUGUGGCAGAUUGGUAUCAGAGCAUUGUUUAUAGUGAAUUAAGUAUAUCAACCCAUAAAAGAUAUACUAACUAUAAAUACAUAAGGGAUUAAAAUACUCUGACCAAGAGUUUAUACUUUAAAUAAUAAAAUAUUUAAUAAAGUAUACGUGCCUGCAUUCAUACUAAAAUCAGUGUCACUAGGACAAUACAAAAGAAUUACGAUUGUUGGGCAACACAAGUGGGCUUAGAGACAUAUGGUCAAAACUGGGAAGAUAUAGCUUGAUCACCUAUAUUAUCCGAGGGUUGACUAGCAUGUGCCUAAGUGUAGUUGUGUGGUUGUAACAAAUCUCAAAUCUUAUCAACCCUACCACAAUGAGAACAGUAGAACAUAACAUUAAACGUAAAAUACUAUAGGAGUAUUUGGUGUUACUAGAAGUACGUUAUACUUGAGAACUAAAACGGGAUCUUCAUUACCAAGUUGAUAGUUGCUAAGUGGAUACACUAAGGCUAUAUGUAAUUAGGAUGUUAUAGACUUAGAAUCUGUGAAAAUUUUACUUUACCCCUAUUCUGUGUGAAUUUGGAGUUAAGGUCACUUAUUCGAAGGCCUAUCCUGUUUAGAUUACAUAUAACUGGUAUGCACUUCACAAAUAGCGAUGUAACUAAUGAAUAUUUUCUAAAUAAUUAUCUAGAUAGUUCAUCUAAUAAUUAUUUUCUUACCCCAAUUCUCGUGAAGAUAACAUGGCUGGACUCCAUACCUACGGCAACCAGUAUCUUCCGAACGAAGUCAUAGUUGGUUGGUUUGAAGAAGAACCAGGGAAUGAUCAUCCUAUCCCUGUGAAUGAUCACCAUGAUGAAGACCUUUCGGACGAUGCUAACUCCGAACCCGAGGUUGAGAACCUACCUCAAGCAGAUCCCUUUCCAAUUCCUAACCCUCGUCCGACUUUUCAUGGCCCGACGCCUGAGUGGGUGGAAUGCUUGGAAACAUGGAGCCAAGGACAAGACCAGCCCAUGCCAUUUAAUGGUGACCGAAGCUUUUAUGACCUAAUCAAUGGGGGCUGAGCAGACAGAACCUUGCCAAUCUUGGUCCGUAGAGUGGACCGAAAUGAGAUUCAAGGCAGGACAACCCUACAUCAGAUUACCGAAGUUGUCGCCGAUGCGAGAAUGCAUACCCUCCGCACCAUUCGUCUCGAAGAUGCUCGCGAGAGAUCAGAGAGAAACCAUGAAACCCUACUGCAAGCACUGGCUGAAUCACGAGCCGAAGUCAUAGAGCUCCGAGUACGCUAGAGGGUGUACGAAAGACACCUACUUGAUAUGGAUUGUCAACUGGCUGAACUGAGAGUUCACCAGAGGGAUAACCGUCACCAGUAGUAGAUGCUUUAAUUUACUUUCCUUAUUAAACGGAAUCGUUUUUCUGUCUAUGCCCGAUGUGGCAUUUUCUAUGAAAUUAUCUUGUACUGUAAGUACUUUUAGUUAGGUCUUUAUGUUGUCAAGAACUAUCUUCUCUAGAUAUGAUGUAAGACCUUUUGCAAGGUCAUUUUCCCGAACUUUUACGUCAUGAAUAUCAAAGAUAUUGACAGUCGGAUAACUUCUGUGUCAUUUCCUUUAUUCAAGUACUCUCAUCAUAUUUUCGUUGGAGUCUAUCUGAAACCUGCUUUAGUCAAGUCAUUGGACUGUAGUAAUUUAGCUCCGGAGACAUUUCCAAGUCUCUUUUAGUGGUUGGAUCCUGUUAUUCACCAACCCACGAUACCUCGGCUUGAACGGAAAAUGUCUUGAGACCAUUCUACAAACUCACUUCCAUUCCGUACUAGGACUGCAUCAUAGGGAUGUAGGUCAAACCUUCGCGAUCAUACCUCCAAUCCAUACUAGGACUGCAUCAUAGGGAUGUAGGUCAACCUUUCGAGAACAUACUCUUACUCUUUGAUUGAGCAAUCGAUGUACACCUAGGGUCAACUAGAAUCGCUCACAAAAUCCUUAUCUUUCGUGUUACAGAAUCAUGUCGUCAUCCAGAAGCAAUCAAUCGAACAACGAAACCUCCGCUUUCCCCAUGGACUCCGCUACCUUCCAAACCGCUGUUACAACUACCGUGAUGGCUGCCGUGACAACUGUCCUUGUGCACCGUAGCGCUAUCAGCAAAAUCAAUGCUAAUGAUGGGAUUGAAGUUUCCAAUCGUGGUAUCCAUCCAGGAAGUAGCCAAACAGUAACAGUCACAGGCUCGCAAAGCCGAAAGACAGAGAACAAGAAACGAAAGCGUCAAGCCCCGAAAGAACGCAAGAAAUCCCAAAAACUUGCCAUGCAACAGCAACAAGUGGAAACCCCUGCCAUCCCCGUACCGAGCAUGCCAUAUGAGGGAAAACUCCCGAAGUGUGAUAAGUAUAGUUUCCAUCAUCAUGGGGCUUGCCAUGAGAUGCAAUGUUGUAAUUGCCUAAAAAUAGGGCACCAUGCUCGUAGCUGUGGAGCACCGGCACGACCCAUCACUCAAGUCCCUUUCAUUAAGACCAACCCUACACACGAGAGUAGUGAUAAAGCCGAACGCUUUAGGAAGCAAUUUCCAAGGUGGAGUAAUGAGGAAGGCACUCGUGUCCACAUAACACUGGCUAAACAACUCACUUCCACCACCAAUGUUGGUGCUGUCCAGAUAUGUCACCAAUGCGGUGAAAUUGGACACCUCAAGAAGGAUUGCCCGUUAGUGAAGAACUCGGGUGCUGAUGGGAAGGUUCUCAGGAUCACAACUAUAGGAGAGACUACGUCGAACCCUCGUUAAUGUAAUUUAGGCGUGUUGUUGUAACAGACUUAUAAACUAUCCGAAACUAGUGCAGCUAGAGUCUUGUCUUUUGCGAGAUCCCUUCUGUAUAGGGAUGCUCGUGCAGCGUAUACUUGUCUUUUUUAGUAUACCUUAUUCACAACAAUAACCUUGUAGUAAGUCUAAAGUACUGUAACUCUGUUCAUGGUUGCACGGUUGUGUUUUGUGUGUAAACGCCUUAUGUUUAAAUCUAAUGUUUUUAAGUUUCUGUAUGAUCCCGACAUUAUCAUACAACUAGAUUCAAUUUGAGCAAACGCAAGGAAAUAAUUACUUUCAGAAAUGGACCUGAGAUCCGAAUAUCACCAGUUCGAGUGUUAGGGAAGGAUGCCCGGAAGACUAUCUUCCGAACUCGAUGCGGACACUUCGAGUCCGUAGUGAUACCCUUCGGACAGGACCAAUACGCAUAUAGUUUUCAUGAGCUAAAUGAGUAGGGUACGUCUUUCUUACUUGGAUCAGUUCAUCAUUUCUCCAUGUAAUGACUUACUUAUCUACCCUCGUAGUAAGAAGAAACCCCUGGGAACAUUACCUUUAGAGGAACUUUCGUGAAGUUCUCUAAGCACAAGUUUUGAAAUUGAAGAGUCAGGUUCCUAUGACACACUGUUAGUGAUGUUGGAAUUUUUAAGUACUCUUUCAAUUUGUCAAAACUGUUGAGAAUUUGUCGACACCAGAGACGCCGGCAGUCACUCACCAAAUUCUAGGUCUUACAGACCUAUUGUCAUAGUCCAUCCAGAACCCCUCGCAAAUCACAUAAAAUCGUACGACCUUGACCCAGCAAGGAGUGGCCCUUGACUAGGAAGUUAAACAAGAAAAGGAAACCUUGGAGAUUCCAAGUGAGAGACCAAGUUCUUUAGGAAAAAUCACUCUGGGAAUGGCUUAAUACGCUUCUUAAAGCGUGGAAAGAUAAAUCCAAGAUAGAUAGGACCUCCGAGAUUCUUACCAGAAUCGGUCCUAUGCCUCGCACAAACUAGACCUACUCCGCGAACUUAGUAGCGUACAUUUUACUCUUCGCGUCUCGAUCGUGAAACCGUACCUUUCCGUUAGGACUCUUGUAAGCCCACUCGACGAGGUCAAGAUUAACGAGAUCCUCUCCUUCGUAUUAGAACCGUAGUGAUCCUCGACCGAGAGGUCAAGCGGACGAAGCAACGCCAUCGCCCGUUAGUGAAGGUUCGUUGGGAUACCCACCGAGAACCCGAUUUCAUUUAGGAUCGCUAGAACCAAUCAAUUAGGAAGUUUCCUCCUCAUGACUCGAUCAUUCGUACCUACUUCCUUACCUAAAUUCUAAUUUCGGGACGAAAUUCCCUUCAACAGGGGGAUGAUGUGACAACCCAAAAUUUCCAUUCUCAACAAACCAUAUCAAGCCAAUAGAAGUUAGAGCAGUUACAGUGAAAUUCCAAACUUUAGGUAUAAGUUUCACAGUUUUUCAGGAUUUACACUUAAGGAGAUAUCAGGAGAGUGGAUGCACUAGGGUUUUGUGCAACACUGUUAUUCCAAUACUCUAGGAUAUUAGAGUUCAUUCCGGGAAUAAAAUAUUUUUCUGCCAAAAAUCCCAGGACUAUAUAUAGAAAUCUGAGCAAUAUUCAUUCAUUAGUUACAUUUCCAACUAGAGAAAAGUCAAAUUCUCUCUCACGGAUCUU
rnacentral:lncRNA from 1 species